CAAAUACAAAUAGAGAACACACGUCAUUGAUUGAACACAACCACUCAAAAUUGAUUUAACCUGUUUCAAAUGAUGCGACACAACCAAUAUAAGCCAGUUCAGAGAGCAAACAGGUUGUUGAAGGUGGGAAGGAGAAAGUCUGAGAAUGGAUAGAAGAAACAAUGUGAGAGGACGAGUGCGAAUGCGAGGUGGGCGACGAGGAGGAAGAGGAGGAGGAGGGCAAGAAAGAGGAAGAGGAGGACGAAGAGGAAGAGGAAGACAAAGAGUGGAAAUAUCUGCUGGAAUUUGAGCAACAGUUAUAGACCAUGUUCUUGUCCAUGGACUGACAAUGAGGGAAGCAGGACGUAGAGUGCAACCCAAUUUGAGCCGAUUUUCUGUGUCCACCAUAGUAAGGACAUUCAGAGAAGAGAACAGAAUUGCAAGGCUGCCACAUGCAGGUGGAAGGACAGCUAUAUUCAAUCGGGAGCAAGAGGCCGUUAUAGUUGGCAUGGUCCUUCAAGAUAAUGCAAUUACGACUCAGAGAAAUCCAGGAAUGAGUGAUACAAGACAACACACACUUCCAGGGAAUCGACAGUGUGAGCAUUUCCACAAUUGACCGUGUCCUCCAUCGUAACAGGAUGCGAAUGAAACAAGUAUACAGAGUACCUUUUGAGCGCAACUCACCAAGGGUGAAAGAACUGCGAGCUCAGUAUGUGCAAACAAUAUUUGACUUGGAAUCCUUGGACAGACCCCAUGAGUUCAUCUUUGUCGAUGAAGCAGGCUUCAAUCUAACAAAGAGGAGAAGGAGAGGCCGAAACAUGAUUGGACAGCGGGCCAUUGUUGAAGUCCCUGGUCAACGAGGUGGCAAUGUCACAAUCUGUGCUGCUAUCAGCAACCAUGGUGUUCUACAUCACCAUGUUACACUCGGGCCAUAUAACACCCAGCACCUUCUAAGAUGUAUUGCCAAUCUAAGAGAUAUUUUAUUUGAGCAGCAGGUUCAAGAGCAGCAGGGUCAAGAGCUAAAUGAGAAUCCCAUUCCCACCUAUGUGAUAGUGUGGGACAAUGUCAGUUUCCACCGAGCUGCUCAGGUAAGGGAAUGGUUUAACAUCAAUGGGCAGUUUAUGAACUUGUACCACCCUCCAUACUCGCCUUUCCUGAAUCCGAUUGAGGAGUUUUUCUCCUCUUGGAGAUGGAAAGUGUAUGAUAGACAACCCUACACUAGAGUAAAUCUGCUGCAAGCCAUGGAUUUAGCCUGUGGUGAUAUAGGUGAGGAAUCAUGUCAGGGCUGGAUACGGCACACAAGAGGCUUCUUCCCCCGUUGCCUCAGGAGGGACAAUAUUGCUUGUGAUAUCGAGGAAGUGCUCUGGCCUGAACCAGCCCAAAGACAAGAAGAAGCACAUUGAUCACAUGUUUACUCCUUUGAUUUUUGUCCCUUUUACUAUUGUAUACUGUAGUACAAUGCAUUGUAGGCUGUAUACUGUACAAUGGACAAAUUGUAUGGCCCUGAACAUUGUGCUUUCCAUUUAUUAACAGUACUGACUGCUCAAUAGAUUUUGACUGGUUGCAGGUUCAUAUCAACAAAGAACAAGAAUUACAGUAUCACAGAGACAAAGGACAAGUUUUUGAGAUGCAGGGUACAGUACUGUAAAAAUAGGGGUACAAGGAGGAGGAAGAACAAAAAACAAAAUUGCAAAGAGCAAAGCAGAGUAGUAAUUUCUGAUCAAUUUUGAGCUACUAUGAUAGAACGUUGUUUUCGUUCAUCAAAAGACAAUGAUGGAAAAAUAUGAAUAUUUUUUUUAGAUUAAAAAUGUACUUCUCCCUG
rnacentral:lncRNA from 1 species